AUAUGCAUAAACGGGUGCUUUUCUUUGCACGGGAAGCUGAGAUUAUACCGUUUAACUCGAUCAAGUUAGUACUUGCGGGAGGAUUAUCAUAUAUGUUGUU
rnacentral:ncRNA from 1 species